GGGUGGUUAGCUCAGCUGGUUAGAGUACCUGCGUUACAUGCAGGGAGUCGGUGGUUCGAGUCCACUACCACCCACCA
rnacentral:tRNA from 1 species